rnacentral:rRNA from 1 species
AGAUUGAACGCUGGCGGCAGGCCUAACACAUGCAAGUCGAGCGGUAGAGAGGUGCUUGCAUCUCUUGAGAGCGGCGGACGGGUGAGUAAUGCCUAGGAAUCUGCCUAGUGGUGGGGGAUAACGUUCGGAAACGGACGCUAAUACCGCAUACGUCCUACGGGAGAAAGCGGGGGACCUUCGGGCCUCGCGCCAUUAGAUGAGCCUAGGUCGGAUUAGCUAGUUGGUGAGGUAAUGGCUCACCAAGGCGACGAUCCGUAACUGGUCUGAGAGGAUGAUCAGUCACACUGGAACUGAGACACGGUCCAGACUCCUACGGGAGCAGCAGUGGGGAAUA